CAUGGCUCAAGAUGAACGCUGGCGGCGUGCCUAAUACAUGCAAGUCGAGCGAACAGACGAGGAGCUUGCUCCUCUGACGUUAGCGGCGGACGGGUGAGUAACACGUGGAUAACCUACCUAUAAGACUGGGAUAACUUCGGGAAACCGGAGCUAAUACCGGAUAAUAUAUUGAACCGCAUGGUUCAAUAGUGAAAGACGGUUUUGCUGUCACUUAUAGAUGGAUCCGCGCCGCAUUAGCUAGUUGGUAAGGUAACGGCUUACCAAGGCAACGAUGCGUAGCCGACCUGAGAGGGUGAUCGGCCACACUGGAACUGAGACACGGUCCAGACUCCUACGGGAGGCAGCAGUAGGGAAUCUUCCGCAAUGGGCGAAAGCCUGACGGAGCAACGCCGCGUGAGUGAUGAAGGUCUUCGGCUCGUAAAGCUCUGUUAUUAGGGAAGAACAAAUGGUAAGU
rnacentral:rRNA from 1 species